ACUUUUAGAAGAUGGGAAGCAAAUACCGGACGAGAUAAGCGAGAAAGGGGGACGGAUGGACUCGCAUCUCCCGGGUGGCGCGGCAAAUUUGGCUUUUUAAUUUUCAGACCUGCCCUUUAGGGCCCCCGUUUGAUGGGCAGAUACAAGAUAUGAAAUCUGCUCGUUGCCCUCAGCCAAAAGCUCUUUCUGCUACUGCAAAAGAAGAGAGUUUGCAACCCCCUGUAAGAGAAAGUUCUGAAGCUUUGAAGGUGACUAUGGCUGAGAG